AACCUUACCAAGGUUUGACAUCCCUCGCGAAACUAUGGAAACAUAGCGGAGGUUAUCGAGGUGACAGGUGGUGCAUGGUUGUCGUCAGCUCGUGUCAUGAGAUGUUUGGUUAAGUCCCGCAACGAGCGCAACCCUACUCUCUAGUUGUUUGUCUAGAGAGACUGAACAGUAAUGUAUAGGAAGGUUGGGAUCACGUCAAAUCAUCAUGCCCCUUAUGCCUUGGGCCGCAAACGUGUUACAAUGGCGAGUACAAUGUGUUGCAAACUAGCGAUAGUGAGCCAAUCACUAAAACUCGUCUCAGUCCGGAUAAAAGGCUGCAAUUCGCCUUU
rnacentral:rRNA from 1 species